GAUGAACGCUGGCGGCGUGCCUAAUACAUGCAAGUCGAGCGAACAGACGAGGAGCUUGCUCCUCUGACGUUAGCGGCGGACGGGUGAGUAACACGUGGAUAACCUACCUAUAAGACUGGGAUAACUUCGGGAAACCGGAGCUAAUACCGGAUAACAUGUUGAACCGCAUGGUUCAACAGUGAAAGACGGUCUUGCUGUCACUUAUAGAUGGAUCCGCGCCGCAUUAGCUAGUUGGUAAGGUAACGGCUUACCAAGGCAACGAUGCGUAGCCGACCUGAGAGGGUGAUCGGCCACACGGGAACUGAGACACGGUCCAGACUCCUACGGGAGGCAGCAGUAGGGAAUCUUCCGCAAUGGGCGAGAGCCUGACGGAGCAACGCCGCGUGAGUGAAGAUGGUCUUCGGAUCGUAAAACUCUGUUAUUAGGGAAGAACAAAUGUGUAAGUAACUAUGCACGUCUUGACGGUACCUAAUCAGAAAGCCACGGCUAACUACGUG
rnacentral:rRNA from 1 species